UUCUGGUUGAUCCUGCCAGAGGCGACCGCUAUUGGAGUUCGAUUAAGCCAUGCGAGUCGAGAGCUUUAGGAGCUCGGCAUACUGCUCAGUAACACGUGGAUAACCUGCCCUGUGCUCUGGGAUAACCUCGGGAAACUGAGAAUAAUACCGGAUAGUCCACCACGCCUGGAACGGUGGGUGGAUCAAAGGUCACGGCACAGGAUGGGUCUGCGGCGUAUCAGGUUGUAGGGGGUGUAAAGGACCCCCUAGCCAUUGACGCGUACGGGUUGUGGGAGCAAUCGCCCGGAGAUGGAUUCUGAGACACGAAUCCAGACCCUACGGGGUGCAGCAGGCGCGAAAACUUCACACUGCAGGAAACUGUGAUGAGGGAACUCCAAGUGCAUGCACAAUGUGUAUGCUUUUCCUUACUUUUAAUCGGUUUGGGAAUAAGGGCUGGGAAAGACCGGUGCCAGCCGCCGCGGUAAUACCGGCAGCUCGAGUGGUCGUCGCUUUUAUUGGGCCUAAAACGUCCGUAGCCUGUUUGGUAAAUCUGUGGGUAAAUCAACCAGCUUAACUGGUUGAAUUCUGCAGAGACUGCCAGACUAGGGACCGGGAGAGGUGUGGGGUACUCUCGGGGUAGGGGUAAAAUCCUGUCAUCCUGGGAGGACCACCAGUUGCGAAGGCGCCACACUGGAACGGAUCCGACGGUCAGGGACGAAGCCUAGGGGCACGAACCGGAUUAGAUACCCGGGUAGUCCUAGGAGUAAACGCUGUGAACUUGGUGUCGGGGAUCCUACUUGGGUUCCCGGUGCCGGAGUGAAGAUGUUAAGUUCACUGCCUGGGGAGUACGGUCGCAAGGCUGAAACUUAAAGGAAUUGGCGGGGGAGCACUGCAACGGGAGGAGCGUGCGGUUUAAUUGGACUCAACGCCGGGA
rnacentral:rRNA from 1 species